AUUGAACGCUGGCGGCAUGCCUUACACAUGCAAGUCGAACGGCAGCACGGGUGCUUGCACCUGGUGGCGAGUGGCGAACGGGUGAGUAAUACAUCGGAACGUACCUUAUCGUGGGGGAUAACGCAGCGAAAGUUGCGCUAAUACCGCAUACGCCCUGAGGGGAAAAGCGGGGGACCGUAAGGCCUCGCGCGAUUAGAGCGGCCGAUGUCUGAUUAGCUUGUUGGUGAGGUAAAAGCUCACCAAGGCGAUGAUCAGUAGCUGGUCUGAGAGGACGAUCAGCCACACUGGGACUGAGACACGGCCCAGACUCCUACGGGAGGCAGCAGUGGGGAAUUUUGGACAAUGGGGGCAACCCUGAUCCAGCAAUGCCGCGUGAGUGAAGAAGGCCUUCGGGUUGUAAAGCUCUUUUGUCAGGGAAGAAACAGCAGCUCUAACACAGUCUGCGAAUGACGGUACCUGAAGAAUAAGCACCGGCUAACUACGUG
rnacentral:rRNA from 1 species